AGUGGACCAACUAUCGCCAACGUCCACUACAAGGGCUCCUUGAGACCCAUGUUGAUGUGUUAGUCAAACUCCAGCAGCCUCAUUGCGAGUAGUAGUGUCAUCUCAGAUCAAAAGAUCAGUCAUACAACUAUAGCAUCGAGAAAGUCACUAACGAGUGAGCAGACAUCCAUAUGACGUCUCGUGUUGGUUACGCUCAGUUCUAGUUGUUCUCCAACAACCACUUGCACUCUCACUCUAGUAUCUCUACACUACAAACUCGAGAUCCAUCUGUCCGAAAGAAGCGAUCCGUGCACUGAUCUAUCCGGAUCAAUCACUAUCCCCAUGA
rnacentral:lncRNA from 1 species